UACGAAGGGGGCUAGCGUUGUUCGGAUUUACUGGGCGUAAAGCGCACGUAGGCGGAUCGUUAAGUCGGGGGUGAAAUCCUGGAGCUCAACUCCAGAACUGCCUUCGAUACUGGCGAUCUCGAGUCCGGAAGAGGUGAGUGGAACUCCUAGUGUAGAGGUGGAAUUCGUAGAUAUUAGGAAGAACACCCGUGGCUAAGGCGGCUCUCUAGUACGUGACUGACGCUGAGACGCGAAAGCGUAGGGAGCGAACAGG
rnacentral:rRNA from 1 species